GAUGAACGCUGGCGGCGUGCCUAACACAUGCAAGUCGAACGAAGCACCUUACCUGAUUCUUCGGAUGAAAGUUUGGUGACUGAGUGGCGGACGGGUGAGUAACGCGUGGGUAACCUGCCCUGUACAGGGGGAUAACAGCUGGAAACGGCUGCUAAUACCGCAUAAGCGCACGAGGAGACAUCUCCUUGUGUGAAAAACUCCGGUGGUACAGGAUGGGCCCGCGUCUGAUUAGCUGGUUGGCAGGGUAACGGCCUACCAAGGCAACGAUCAGUAGCCGGUCUGAGAGGAUGAACGGCCACAUUGGAACUGAGACACGGUCCAAACUCCUACGGGAGGCAGCAGUGGGGAAUAUUGCACAAUGGGGGAAACCCUGAUGCAGCAACGCCGCGUGAGUGAAGAAGUAUUUCGGUAUGUAAAGCUCUAUCAGCAGGGAAGAUAAUGACGGUACCUGACUAAGAAGCUCCGGCGAAAUACGU
rnacentral:rRNA from 1 species